GAACGCUGAAACCGGAGCUUGCUUUGGUGGAUGAGUGGCGAACGGGUGAGUYACACGUGGGUHAUCUGCCCUACACUUUGGGAUAAGCCUGGGAAACUGGGUCUAAUACCGAAUAUUCACACCACCGUAGGGCUGGUGUGGCAAAGCUUUAUGCGGUGUGGGAUGAGCCUGCGGCCUAUCAMCUUGUUGGUGGGGUAAUGGCCUACCAAGGCGUCGACGGGUAGCCGGCCUGAGAGGGUGUACGGCCACAUUGGGACUGAGACACGGCCCAGACUCCUACGGGAGGCAGCAGUGGGGAAUAUUGCACAAUGGGCGCAACCGAAUGCAGCGACGCCGCGUGGGGGAUGAAGGCCUUCGGGUUGUAAACUCCUUUCGCUAGGGACGAAGCCUUAUGGUGACGGUACCUGGAGAAGAAGCACCGGCUAACUACGUGCCAACAGCCGCGGUAAUACGUAGGGUGCGAGCCUUGUCCGGAAUUACUGGGCGUAAAGAGCUCGUAGGUUGUUUGUCGCGUCGUCUGUUAAAUCCCGGGGCUUAACUUCGGGCGUUCAGGCGAUACGGGCAUAACUUGAGUUCUGUAGGGGAGACUGGAAUUCCUGGUGUAGCGGUGAAAUGCGCAGAUAUCAGGAGGAA
rnacentral:rRNA from 1 species